CAAUAGCGUAUACUAAGGUUGUUGCGAUUAAAAAGCUCGUAGUUGGAUCUCAGGCAUGGGCGCACGGUCCGCCUCGCGGCGGUCACUGUGUGUUUUGUUUCCCAUCCUACGCUUCCCGGUUAUCAGCCCAUGGUGCUCUUCACUGAGCGUUUUGGGUGGCCGGAACGUUUACUUUGAAGAAAUUAGAGUGUUCAAAGCAGGCACGUCGCCUGAAUAAUGGUGCAUGGAAUAAUGGAAUAGGACCUCGGUUCUAUUUUGCUGGUUUUCGGAACACGAGGUAAUGAUUAAGAGGGACAGACGGGGGCAUCCGUAUUGCGGUGUUAGAGGUGAAAUUCUUGGAUCAUCGCAAGACGAACAACUGCGAAAGCAUUUGCCAAGCAUGUUUUCAUUAG
rnacentral:rRNA from 1 species